rnacentral:rRNA from 1 species
UACGUAGGGCGCAAGCGUUGUCCGGAUUUAUUGGGUUUAAAGGGUGCGUAGGUGGCUGAUUAAGUCAUGGGUGAAAGCCCGCAGCUCAACUGUGGAAUUGCCUGUGAUACUGAUUAGCUUGAGUGCGGUUGAGGCAGCUGGAAUUGGUGGUGUAGCGGUGAAAUGCAUAGAUACCACCAGGAACACCGAUUGCGAAGGCAGGUUGCUAAGCCGUAACUGACACUGAGGCACGAAAGCGUGGGGAGCAAACAGG